rnacentral:rRNA from 1 species
CGUAGGUGAACCUGCGGAGGGAUCAUUGCUGGAACGCGCUUCGGCGCACCCAGAAACCCUUUGUGAACUUAUACCUUACUGUUGCCUCGGCGCAGGCCGGCCUCUUAGCUGAGGCCCCCCGGAGACGGGGAGCAGCCCGCCGGCGGCCAACCAAACUCUUGUUUCUACAGUGAAUCUCUGAGUAAAAAAACAUAAAUGAAUCAAAACUUUCAACAACGGAUCUCUUGGUUCUGGCAUCGAUGAAGAACGCAGCGAAAUGCGAUAAGUAAUGUGAAUUGCAGAAUUCAGUGAAUCAUCGAAUCUUUGAACGCACAUUGCGCCCUCUGGUAUUCCGGAGGGCAUGCCUGUUCGAGCGUCAUUUCAACCCUCAAGCCUGGCUUGGUGUUGGGGCACUGCUCCGAGAGGAGCAGGCCCUGAAAUCUAGUGGCGAGCUCGCUAGGACCCCGAGCGUAGUAGUUAUAUCUCGUUCUGGAAGGCCCUGGCGGUGCCCUGCCGUUAAACCCCCAACUUCUGAAAUUUUGACCUCGGAUCAGGUAGGAAUACCCGCUGAACUUAAGCAUAUCAAUAAGCGGAGGAA